rnacentral:rRNA from 1 species
AUUGAACGCUGGCGGCAGGCCUAACACUUGCAAGUCGAGCGGAUGAAGGGAGCUUGCUCCUGGAUUUAGCGGCGGACGGGUGAGUAAUGCCUAGGAAUCUGCCUGGUAGUGGGGGAUAACGUCCGGAAACGGGCGCUAAUACCGCAUACGUCCUGAGGGAGAAAGUGGGGGAUCUUCGGACCUCACGCUAUCAGAUGAGCCUAGGUCGGAUUAGCUAGUUGGUGGGGUAAAGGCCUACCAAGGCGACGAUCCGUAACUGGUCUGAGAGGAUGAUCAGUCACACUGGAACAGAGACACGGUCCAGACUCCUACGGGAGGCAGCAGUGGGGAAUAUUGGACAAUGGGCGAAAGCCUGAUCCAGCCAUGCCGCGUGUGUGAAGAAGGUCUUCGGAUUGUAAAGCACUUUAAGUUGGGAGGAAGGUCAGUAAGUUAAUACCUUGCUGUUUUGACGUUACCAACAGAAUAAGCACCGGCUAACUUCGUG